UGUGCCAUUUAAUGUGCCUCUAAGGUUCUAGCAUUAAUGUGCCAUUUAACGUGCCUGUAAGGUUCUAGCAUUAAUGUGUCAUUUAACGUGCCUGUAAGGUUCUAGCAUUAAUAUGCCAUUUAACGUGCCUGUAAGGUUCUCGCAUUAAUGUGCCAUUUAACGUGCCUGUAAGGUUCUAGCAUUAAUGUGCCAUUUAACGUGCCUGUAAGGUUCUAGCAUUAAUGUGCCAUUUAAUGUGCCUGUAAGGUUCUAGCAUUAUUGUGCCAUGUAACGUGCCUGUAAGGUUCUAGCAUUAAUGUGCCAUUUAACGUGCCUGUAAGGUUCUAGCAUUAAUGUGCCAUUUAACGUGCCUGUAAGGUUCUAGCAUUAAUGUGCCAUUUAACGUGCCUGUAAGGUUCUAGCACAGGGCCCUAGAACAUCCUCAGGAAGCUUGGGCACGCACUCCCAACGUACACAUUUCCCAGUUUUGCUGGAGGUCCCCUGUAGCUCAGUUACAAAUCAAGGAGGAAUAUUAGAAUGUGAUUCAGUUCUGCUAUUCAUGUUAAAAUAAAACUAUUUGAAUUGAA